AUGAGUUGAUUUCUCAUUCUUGCUUUGUUCUCACUAGGUGUACAAUAUGAUCGGCUUUAUACUCCUUAUCUUUUGUAAAUGGUAUAAUCGUUUAGUCUUUCGCUUCUGGGGAAAAUUUUUGGCACUAUUGAUGAAUGUGACAAUUAUUCAGAUACACAAACAUUACAUUGAAACAACAGAUUCUUAAAUGCAGAAUAGAACAAGUAACAGAUUUUACAAGAUAAAACAAGUCCUAUCUCUAUUUAGUGGUUCCUAACAUAGGAACUUAUUAACUUCACAAAAUCAAACUUCGACAAAAGAUAAAUCUUAAAAUCAAAAUUCUCCACUGCUAUAGUUGGAAUCGGUGAAAUCAUCCCAAACAAGAAUACAUUUUAUUUAUUACUGCUCUUUGCUGAAUAGUAUGUCUGUGCAAUAGUGAGGCCUAGCAGCGCCACAGCUGCCAACACUCCUAUGAGUUUCCAAACCGUAGGAAUGUGUUCCUUUAUCAGAAUGCUGUACCAGUUUUUGCAAUAGUAAACAAUAAUUGCAAUGAUACGUCUGCACUGAUGCCAAGUGACUAUUGGCCAUUUUGUUAAGGAUCUCGUUCCCGUGUCUGAGUUCAACUUGCCACAAACGUCACUAUAACUCCAAUCCAUCUGAUCAACUCCCUCACUCAGAGUUUGAAACAUCUUCAGCAAAUCUACAUUUCUUUUCCCGGAUUCGUUCACUAUAAUUCCAAGACGCUCCAGCAGUUCGAUGUCAUGCGUACAACAAAUCAAGCCUUGGAAAAACAAAGCAUACGAAGUCAAUUUGCAACUGGUUACAAUUCUGCUCUGCUCCCACGCAAUCAUGUUCCUCCAUGUGACUUCCGUUGACUUCUUAAUACGAAGCUGAGGAAUCUCCAACACCCCUUUGUCGAAAUUUAUCUCAAAGUUAAAGAUUUCACCAAACUGGUUCAUAUUGCUUCUACCUCCUUGUCUUAUCGUUACUCCACGAGCUCGAAGUCUAGUGGCACAGCGCUUUAACUCUUUAUGCGCUCGCCUAGUUUUUUUUCUAUCCUCCUGGUUCACGAUGGACAAAUAAACAAGGUGAAGAAGAUGAGCCGCACCAGAUGUAGGAACAACAGAAGUGUAGCCUAGAGCUUCCAUUGCAAGAGUAGCAACACGGUGAUCUUGCUCAACGGGAACAGGAACCGGGAAAAGUUUUCUGUACAGCUUCUUGAGAACAAUGAAGGGUACUUGAUUCUCAAGCAGAAGCAAGUCACUCAACACAGACAAGACUUUGUCAAGGCUUUCGAAUACAGGGUCGUCAUCAUAUUCACCAUUCUCCCCAGCCUUCAAGGAUUCCUUAUACUCGUGAAGCCUGUGAAUAAACUCUAACAAGAAAAAACCAUCCAGAAGCAUAAGUUUUGCUAGCUCGUGUGGUUCAGAUAGAGCGUUCCCCCCAUAGCUGGCACGAACUAUGUAUUCUAUCUCAAGAAUGGUCUCGCCGCAUUCUUUCACCGUGCUUGGGCCGUCUUUAAUUUUCCCCUCUUGUUCCGCUUGGAACAGGGAUCGUCCUAGAAGAGACAGCAUGUAAUUCCAUUUGGGUUGUUCCAUCAUCAAGAGAUCGUUUUGGGAUCCCUUGUGGUAGGGUCCGAUGGAGACAACCUGCGGAACGUAUGCGUCCUUGUUUGGCUUUCUAAGCUUGUCUGGAACCUUGGAGAUGCUACAUGCCUCAACUUCUCCGUGUCUUACAGUACCCAGCAACACUUGAAUAGGAAAGAUCCAACUGGUGGGGUCAACGUUGAGUUCUCUUCCUGAAGCCAUAUCUCACCUAUUAGGCGAACGAAGAAUUCACAGAACAAGCUCCAGCAAGUGGUUGUUCUUGUUUUUUCCUUUUGAUAUUAUUUAGGUUGAGAUUUAAGAAAGACUCGGGACAACACUGAUCCAAAUAUAUAGUUCAGUGAGUUGAAAAGCUGAAAAAGAUUAAGAUUUACGGAGAGCAGUAUGAGUAGGAUGCAGUGGCUGGCAUGUAAAAGGUGGGGAGGAGAUUAGUAAAAUCGAAAGGGGA
rnacentral:sRNA from 1 species